UACGAAGGGGGCUAGCGUUGCUCGGAAUCACUGGGCGUAAAGCGCACGUAGGCGGCUUUCUAAGUCAGGGUGAAAUCCUGGAGCUCAACUCCAGAACUGCCUUUGAUACUGGAGAGCUUGAGUCCGGAAGAGGUGAGUGGAACUCCGAGUGUAGAGGUGAAAUUCGUAGAUAUUCGGAAGAACACCAGUGGCGAAGGCGGCUCACUGGUCCGGUACUGACGCUGAUGUGCGAAAGCGUGGGAGCAACAGG
rnacentral:rRNA from 1 species